rnacentral:lncRNA from 1 species
AUUGAUGUCUUGCAAGUCUUUAAAAUAUUUCAUCAUUACAGAUUUGAUAAGACCAAAAGCUUGAUAAAUCAUCUUACUGUAGCAGAAGUGUCUUUGGCCUCCAAAUUUACAAGAACACCAUUGUUUCCAAAUUUCCCAACAAAUGAUACUAGGAGUGAUAUUCAAUAAAAUUUUAUGGAUAUCAUUCUCUGGUCUUACACUCCACCAAGUGUUAAAGAUGUCGACAAUUGGUUGAUUUACAUGUUGAAUUCCAAAGGGAUUUCCCAUGCUAUUCCUUAUGUGCUUUGCUGCGUCACCUUGCCAAAAACAUGAUGCAUAGUAUCAUUUUAUACAAUCCUACAACAAAAGCAAUCACUUUGUGAGUUAAUAUUGAAUUUAAUGAUGACGUCAUUAAAAGGUAAUCUCCUUUUAAUCAUCCUCCACGCCAGAAAAGAGAUUUUAAAAGGAACUCUAUUAUGCCAAAGAUUAUUCAGGAAAUCAUUUUUGGGUCUUUGUUUCCUAACAAUCUGCCAGGCAGAAUUAUUAGUGAAUAUACCAUUCUCAGAGAAAUUCCAUAUGGGGUAGUCAAGUGCGUUGUUAUUACGAAUUCCAACAUUAUAAAUCAGGUUCACAAUGUAAUUAGGAAUAACCGUACUUAAAUUUUCAAAGUUCCAGGUACCAUUCUCAAUAAAAGAGUU